ACCUGGAGAGUCACGUCUUUGUGUGUGGAAGUCGCUGGUUGCUUUAUUUAUUGAUCAUAGACUUUAUUGCCCCGUGCAUCCACACUGCUGCUCUUCAUCACGGACACAUUUGUCCCGUAUUUUCCUCCACGACUUUGUUCCCCUCGUUUGUGGAGAUCUCCCUCCAUGAAUCAGAGGCCAUCCGGCGUCCUCAUAGUCCGCCAAUGACGGCUCGUACAAGCGCUCAUCAAGAGACACGCAAGGGACACGCA
ensembl:lncRNA